UACGGAGGGGGCUAGCGUUGUUCGGAAUUACUGGGCGUAAAGCGCACGUAGGCGGCUUUGUAAGUUAGAGGUGAAAAGCCCGGGGGCUCAACUCCGGAAUUGCCUUUAAGACUGCAUCGCUAGAAUUGUGGAGAGGUAAGUGGAAUUCCGAGUGUAGAGGUGAAAUUCGUAGAUAUUCGGAAGAACACCAGUGGCGAAGGCGACUUACUGGACACAUAUUGACGCUGAGGUGCGAAAGCGUGGGGAGCAAACAGG
rnacentral:rRNA from 1 species